UCACCGGGAGAAAAACUGGAGU
rnacentral:miRNA from 2 species